CACCCGAUGGCGCAAGGUGUGCGUCUGCUAUGUUUGAAGUAGCUCCUGUGAAGCAUUUAGCAGAAGGGCCCUGUUCGAUUCGGGGUCGGGUGA